AUCUUCAGUCAAGAACACGGGGAGUCUAAAGUAACAUUAAAAUGGAAUUUACGGGAGUGCCUAGAUGGCUCAGCGCCCCAAGGACCCCGACUCUUGAUCUCAGGUCUUGAUCUCAGGGUUGUGAGUUCAAGCCCCAUGCUGGGUGUGAAGCCUACUUAAAAAACAAAAAAAAAAAACAAAAAAAACAAAAAAAAAAAAAUGGAAUUUACAUAUAAGUUUAAAAACUGGUGGUUUUUUUUGUGUGUGAAAUUCUUGUAUACGGUCCCACAGAAAAGCUAAUCAUUUUAUUAUAAACAUUCACUGAUGGUCUGAGAUUUACUUAACAAUUACUUAUUUAAUAUUCUGGCCAUAUCACUCCAUUUUCAAUCCCUUCUAUCAGAGUUUUAAUAUUUAUUAUCUAUAUAUUCAGCUAAGGCUUUUAUUUAAUAGCAUAGAUGGAGCCUCCCCUGUAAAGAUGUGAGAUGAAACUGGAUCACAGAGACUUGGUUUUGAUGAAACAGACCUAAGCAGGAACCACUCAGUAAAGAUCAUGUGCACCUUCAUGACAUAGUUUCAAAAAGUAGAGAUAGACUUUUAUUUAGCAUUUGAGAUUCAUCCAUAUUGCUAAGUUUAUCAAUAAUUUGUUCCUUUUAAUUGCUCAGCAGUAUUCCAUUGCUUGGGUGUAUGACAGUUUGUUUAUCCAUUCAACUGUUGAAGGACAUUUGAGUUGUUUCCAGCAUUUGGCAAUUACGAAUAAAGCAGGUAUCAACGUUUCAUUAAAAAAAAAAAAAAAAAAGCAGAA